GAGGGUCAAAAAAAGUGGAAGAACCAUUGACCGGCUUGUAGAAGUAUACUGUUGGGAUGUGUACCAUUGGCACCAAGAGGUCCAGAUUUGAGCUCCAUAGGCUUUUUUCCGGCGUGUCUUCGGCAGGUCGCACGACAGUUGACGCUUUUAUUCGAAUUUCAACUCUUACCAUCUGCAUAUUUGCAACAAAAUCAUGUUAAAGUCCUGUCUGUUCAUAUAUGCUGUUUAAAUUGUUGAAAAUCAACUCCAGGUUUGCUUAGCUUAGUAAAUUGCAGUAUAUGUUAAACAUUAAUGAAGCAGAAUUAAAUAUUAAACUCAUACUUUAUUCGCCUGGCUAGAAUUUUCUUCUUAGAAGAACAAAACAAGAUAGAGAGGGGGGGGGGGGUGUUGUACGCAGAUGAGGACGACCACUCGUAUUUAUAGAAGAAAAAAAAGAAAGGAAGGAAGAAACGAGGGAGUGAAGGCAGCCUUGAAGCUUCAAAUUAAAAACCAUUUGGGCUCGCGGCAGUUCAACCGUGUUUUUCUAAUUUAUUUUUUUAUAUUUUAAAAAUAUUUUGAUAUAAUAAUAUAAAAAAUUAUUAUUUUAUAAUUAAUAUUGUUGUCUCAAGAAUAGUGUUAUUUUUUAAUAUAUAUUAUCUCGUUGAUUCAGGAUAUCCAAAAAAAUACUAUUACUUAGAUCCAUAUAAAAAGAAUAAGAGAUAUUAUCUUUCAGAAUUUCAUCGACGACGAUAACCACAAAGUCGAGAGGAAAUAUUCAACCAUAUCCAUUUAUCAUUACGAUGAGUAAUAGAACGUAUAUUUGAAGUUUGGAAGAAAAGGUGGAGAAUCUUGCAAAACAUACUUGAGUUUCCUUACAAAACACAAGUUAAAAUUGGUAUUGCAUCAAUGGCACUGCAUAGCUACAUUCGAAGGAAGUCGAGCCAAGAUGUUGCAUUUAACGAGUUUGAUAUUCAUUUUGAUUUUGUUCCUCCUGAUACUUUAACCGAUAUGGUUCCACAAUCACAACCACGUGGGCACCAGAAAGCUUUGUGUAUGAAUUAUGUUUUGUGAUGGCAUUGCAAAUAGUUUGAUGGGACAAUAAUAUUUAUUUUUUAAUGUAAAAAAAUGAUUUUAUUUUUCUGCUAGUUUUUGUUUGGAUUAAAUAUUUUGUUUCCUCUUAAAACAAAGAAUAAAUUCAUUUAUUUUCUUUUUAGUCAUUUUAUAUACAACAUUAUCCGCAACUAUAAUUUUAACCAAACAUAUCAUGUCAUGAUUUUUGGCAAAAUAAAAUCAAAUCAUAAUUUUAACCAAACACAUAUUAUAUACGCACCAACCACACAAAAAAAUAAUUUUUUCAAAAUUACUUUUUAUAAAUCAUAACUAUCACAAUUACCACAAAAACAAAAAUAUAUAUCCAUUGAGAUGUUAUACUGUGUACGAUAAAAGUACAAUUUGCGGUCGCUAUUUUUUUUAUCUUUUGAUUCUUAGAUUUAAAAAUUACAUUGACAAUCAACAUUUACAUUGACAAAGUAAAAAAAUCAAAUUAGUAAUUAACAAUAACCAUAACAAUUAUUUGUCAAAUAGUUGCAAUAAUAAAUAGACAAUUACUUAAAGUGCCGCUAAAUAGGAUAUUCGGCCUUAAAAAUAUAGUUAUUUUUGAAAGUGUAUUUUUUAAUAUUUAAAUAAUAUUUUUUUUUUUUUUAAUAUAAACAUAUUAAAAUAAUCUUUAAAAAAUAAGGCAGAUUCCUUGUCAGAAAGAAAUUAAUGUAGGGGGAUUAUUGUGGGACCUCAGUACGAGAUUUCGUGUCUUACGUGUCUACCAUUUACCCACUAAGGCAGAUUCCUUGUCAGAAAGGACAGAUGCAACUGUGCUAGACUGCUAGCAUCUACGACAUGCAAUGAGCUGCCUGCCACCUGUCUCUGGCAGUUCUGUCUUUUUCUUUCUCUGUACUGCCAACGCUAAUUAUUGGACAUUUUUACUGCCUUUGAUUGUCCUCCUCCUUCCUUGAUGCCCCCCCAGUCCCACCUCCUAUUUCCGUUUUUCACAAUUAUAAUGGUAUUUUUUUAUUUCGGGAUAUUCGGUAAUAUUAAUAAUUCAAAAUAUUAGUUUAAAAAAUAUAAUAUUAAUUCAAACACAAAUAUAAACAAACUUAAAUUUAUACAAUUCAAAUCUCAAAUACAAAUAAAAAAAUAUAAGUUAAAUCAAUUUAUUUUUUAAAUCUUAAAUAUAAACUUGAAAAAUAUAAUUGAACGGAAUAAAAUUACGAUUUGAAAAAGUAUAUGGCUACAUGUUAACAAAAAGAUAUCUUGUUUUACCAGUGAAGUGGAUUGCGCAAGUGGACUGCUGGAACAUGUCAAUAUAUAUAUAGUAUGUUUUUAAGAACAUAUAUGUAAUAUCGGUUGAGAUCAAGUUAAAUAAAAAAUAUAUUUAAUAGUUGAAUAAAAAAGACAAUUCUAAUCUGUUAAAUUAUUUUUUUAUUAAAAAUCAUUUUCAAAUGUUUUUUAUUUUAAUAUAUUAUAUUUUAAAAUAAUGAAAAGAAUUUCUUUUAUUGAAUUGGGAUAUUUGAAAGAAUAAUAAUAAUUGCUUUUUAACAUGUUUUUUUUAAUAUAUUAAAAUAAUAUUUUUUUUUAAAAAAAUUAUUUUUUAUAUAAACACAUCAAAACCAUUUAUAAAUAAAAAAAAUAAUUUAAAAAAAAAAAAAAACAAAAAACCAAACUUUCCUACUGAAAAAACACUUCCCAUGAGGAAGCUUGUGAAAUUGGUCUCCAGAUGCAUGCCUGCUACAUUACGGCAGCCGUGUGAACUCCACGGAUGAGGUUGAAUGUUCGUGGGCCCCUCCCUUACGUUGGCCCGGGCUAGCUGUGUGUAAUUAAUGUUUAUUGUUUUAUAUAUUAUAUCGCUAUCAGUAAUAAAUUUAAAAAAGCAUUUUAAUAUAUUUCUAUAAAAAAAACAAUUAUUAUCACCCUUUUAAAUACUUCAUUAAAAUAAUUUAAUAUAUAUUUAUUAAACAACGGAUUUACCGCCCGAGUCAAAAUGAUGAUUUAAUUCGACCGGCACCCUCAUUCCCCCAUUAAAAGCCCCUAGCAAGCUUGCUUAGCCUAACCAGAGGCCGCCUACCAGAGUCCUUCCUUCCAGAUAAUCAUAAAACAUUCAACAGAGAUUUUGUGCUAGGAAAAACUCCCAGAAAGUAAGCUAGGGACUUCUCUUAAUGAUAUGCUAUCAGUGAAAUUUUGGGAUCUCGGAUCCGCUUUAACUCAGUAGAAAGCAGCUCAUGAAGUAUUGCUUCAAAUAUCAUACAUAGGUAAGUUAACUUCACUGUCAAACUUAGGAGAGAUGGAUUGCAGAUCAUAUGCGAUUCAUGCUGUGAAUAUUAUAACAAAAUGAUACUAUACUAGUUUAAAGGAUUUCAUAGUCAUAUAUAUACACCCUGAAAUGCCACCAGCUGUGGAUUUCGGAUUCCUUUGUAAGGCUCCAAGGCGCAGGCAUCACUCAUGCGAAGCUGGCAACAAUGGCAGCAGAGCUGUCCUACUGUUCAAGCUUCAAGGUAGCAUAUUUGGAUAACAGCUCCUGCAUGAAAUUGGUUAACUGAUGUUUAGAGAAAAUUUCAAUUAUCUUAGUUAUCAUGAACUUAGCAUUUGAAGAGUACCUGAUCUUCAGCUUCCAUCCCCUCGGCGUUUUGCUUCUGAGCCCACUUCUUUGCAUUUCUUUCCAGCAAAACAUAUUUCAUCACCUGCAACAAAAACCAAAUCAGUGUAGGAUCAAAACAGUUUACCGAACUCCUGAGAAGCGUUUUCCCUUUGCCAUCCUAUGUGCAAUUCAUGAUGUUACGAGACUGAGACUGUACAUCCAGUAAUUUUGUUUUGGUGGUCUGGGAUAGGUAGAACUCUGCUCUAGCUUCCUCCUGGUUCAAGCACCGAUCAACCUGAGAAAAUAGAAAGAGAACGAAUUAUAGGUUGUUACAUAAACAUAGAAUUGACUUCUUUGGGAUGCCAAAGUUUCGAGCAUUACUGACCUUCCGCAGGUAAUUGGAGAAGGAAUCACCCCAAAACCACCACUCCAAAGAUAGCUGAGAGUAGUAAGCAGCAGCUUCUGCUAGCAUUAUCUGCUCCAAUUUUUCAUAAUAGUUGGUGGUUCCAUUCCCUCCAACCUCUAAAAAGAAAUCAAGUACCCUCUUUAGUAGGUUCCGAUCAAUCUGCCCCCCUUCACGCUCUUGAAUGAUCUGCCCGUAAAGUCAUAUGCAGGGUUAAACCAACCUCAGAAAGAAGACAACCCAUUAUGAAACAACCAGUGAAUGCUAACUGACCAGCCUCAUCAUUGCUUCCUGCAAUUUACUGAAUAGCUCAUCACAGACCUGAAAAUAAGAUUGGAUAUGAUGCUCAGCCAAAUUGUGUAAGAGAACAGAAGCAAGAAUAAGAACUAAACUACUUCAUGUAGUUACUUACCAAAUUGCAGAAGUAAUAUCUCAUGGAGUCAGCAGGUGAUGGAUGUCUUUUCCUACGGAUGUAGAAAUUAUCCAGGUCUGCAAAGGUUUCUGACAAUUCCUUAUACUCCAGCCAUAAUCGCGUGAUUUCUGUUAAAAGCUCUGUACCAUGUUUGUCCAUUAACACUGGAAGUACCUGAAAGAGCAUGCAAGGAUGGAAAACAACGGGAUGUGUUCAUUAUUAUAUUCAUUGCACUUUGACAAAGAUGAAAGCAAAAGAAAUUGAAACCCUUCUCAACUGCCACGUCUCAUUUCUCCACUUGUGUAAAUUACAAAGACCACCAAUCCAGACUAAGCUAGAUAGCGAGAGAAAACAAAAUUGGGCAUGCAUAAUCAUGAGUAAAGCAUCUUGCAAAAUUAUCCUAUGAAAUAAGUUAUAAACAAGAGAGCAUGUCAUAGUAAGAGUUUCUCAUACUUUGACAUUCUUAGCCAACACAUUUAAGAUACAUGAGAGCCAAUUCUACCAGAGAAAUUAUGCAGAAGCGAAGAAACUGGAAGAAUUAUUGAUUAUAUAUGGUAGAAAUCUCACCCUUUCUUGAAUUAUCUCACUUAAACAGUUCGUAUACUUCUCAUAAACCAGGCUGCAAGAGUCCCCACGCUUCCUUGUGCACAAAUUGUAUACACACCUAUCACAAGUGUUAAGGAUAUGCCAAUUCUCGGCAACUAAAAUCACAUUCAGGAAUAUUGAUUUAUCUCGUCGAGUAGAAAAAAAAUUAACAUAUCAAACUUCGACAUGUAAGUAAACCAUAUUGCAGGAUACUCAUAAGCAAUCAUUUUUUCCGCAGGUGUAAAUGGAAUCACAGGGUGUCCAUCCAUAAUCAUCUUCUUCUUCGUAAUUAUAUCAUCUAUCUUCUUUAGCUUCUCAUUCAACAUCAUGUCAGCAUCCAUCUUCAUUUAGCUGCAGUCGAAAACAUUUAAAAUUGUAAUGAUCGCAGUUCAAAAUCAAAGAAAGAGAUAGCAUGCAUAUCUGUAUUGCACACUCAUCCGACUAUUUCUCAUUUUCCUUUUAAAAAUAGAAUUUCUAAAGUCUACAAUAGCAUCCAAAACCCUUUGAACAGACUAGAAAGUUUCUGGCGUUGACAAUUAAACUUUAUACCAAACAAACUACAUCCAAGGUCCUGUUCUAUAGGGAAGUGAAGAAAAAAGUGGGGUUUGCAUUAUACUUAUAGGGAAAGCAGCUUGCAGGGGAAGUUGAAGGGAAAGGUGGGGCUUGCAUAUACUUGUAAGGAGAAGCCACCUUGCAGUGAAAGUUGAUAGGACAUAGGUCCAUAGACCAUACGCUGUUGUUUAUUAUGUAAUAAUUGUUGUAUUUUUUAAAAAUAUUUUUAUUCAAAAAUAUAUUAAAAUAAUAUUUUUUAAAUUUUUAAUAUUAUUAUAUUAAAAUUAUAUUAAAAAAAAACAUGUUAAUUUGAUAUUUUUUUCAUAUACAAAAUAAUUUUAAAAAUAAUUUGAAUUAAUUUAAAUAAAAUUCAAUAAAGCAUAAAUAAUGAUAGCCAUAGUUGUAAAAAACUACUUAAAUGAAUUCAUUUGAUUCAAGAUUCAGAUCGAGAAUUAAGUGGUUUAAUAUGUAAAUUAAUUUAUAAAUUAUAAUUUAAAAAAUAAAAAUAUAAAAUGAUGUUAUUUUAAAUAUUUUUCUAAACAAUGUUAUUUUGGUUAUAUAUAAAAAAAACAAUUCAAAUAAAACUUGAUGUAAACCACAUUUUGGGUCAAUGAAUUACUAGAUUGGCAAGUCAGACAAAGUCAAUUUUUAUAAUUAUGAUAGUAAAGGCUAAGUUGCUUAGUGAAAAAUGGCACUAAAAUAUAAUAUGUGUUUAGAAAUGUGGUAAUUUUUAUUUUUAUGUGUGUUUUAAAAGUGUAUUUUAUUUGAAAAGAAAGACAAAUAGUAAAUUGAUAUUAUUUUAGUGUUUUUUUUUAUAAUUUUAAUGUGUUGAUAUCAAAAAUAAAUAAAUAAAUCUAAAAAAAAAUAUUUGAUGUAUUUUCAAGCAAAAACUAUUUUAAAAAAAAUAUUUUACAUCACAAUACCAAACAUAUAUUAUUCAAAUUGAGGACUAAGUGGUUUAAACCGUAGAUUAAUUUAUAAAUUAUGAUUUAAAAAAUAAAAAUAUGAAAUGAUGUUGUUUUAAAUAUUUUUCUAAACAAUGUUAUUUUAAUUAUAUAUAUAUAUAUAAAUUUAGUAAAACUUGAUGUAAACCAUAUCUUGGGUUAAUAAAUUACUAGAUUGACAAAUCAAGCAAAAUCAAGUUUUAUAACUAUGGUUGUAAAUGCUAAGUUGUUUGGUGAAAAGUGGUACUAAAAUAUUAUGAGUAUUUGAAAGUGUUUUAUCUUUUAUUUUUAUAUGUGUUUUAAAAGUGCAUCUCAUUUGAAAAAAAUAUUAAAUUAAUGUGUUUUUUGCUUUUUUAUAAUUUUAAUGUCUUGAUGUUAGAAAUAAAUAAAAAAUCUAAAAAAACUUAUUUAAUGCAUUUUGAAGUAAAAUUAUUUUUUAAAAAUACUUUAUAUCAUAGUACCAUACAUAUUUGUAAUGAAUACUACAAACAACUUCCUCUCUGUAUCUUUGACUUGAAGUUGAAAUAUUUAAAUGACAUAUUAUACUAUAACUUAAAAUGCGUGAAUUUUUUUACUAUAGAGGCAAUUAUUGUUUAUGCACACGCAAAUCACUAUGAAUAGAAUUGUUCUGCACUAUGCAUUUGUUAAAAUUUUAUUUUGGUCCUUAAAGUUUUUUUCUUGAUGAUUUAAUUCUAAUUAAAGGCCAAUUGAUUGUAAUUUUUUAGGAAAAGGUGGGGUUGAAAGAAGAGGGACUAUAAUGAAAAAGGUGUCAAACAUGGAUGGCAUGCCAUAAGUUUCAACAAAAAAUACACUUUGAUCCUCAAACUUUAAAAAUAACAUAAAUUAUACAAUUUCAGUACCUCAAUAUUUUUCAAGUUUAAGUUUUGUACAAAAACUUAUUUUUAUUAUUUUUUAGUUCCUGACUAGACAGAUGAGAGAAAAAGGUCGUCGAAUUACAGAAGUAGUAAAAGAAAAAUAUCGUUGAUACCGAUUUAGGUCAUCAAAACAGUCAAUAUUUGUGUCAAAUGGUUCCAAUUGAUGAUGAGAAUUUAUAUUAAGUAUUUUUUUGCCCUAAAAGUCUUUGAAAAUACAUAUACAAGCUCAAUUUGAAUUUUGGUUUCUGGUUUAUUUUAGUUUUUGGGGUGGUUUUUUUUUUCCCCAAGAUAAGUUUAUCAUAGUUUUAAUGUUUUCUAGGUUUAUAUUCAAGCCACCUGCCCUAAAUGAAGCAAAAAAAUAAAAAUAAAGACCCAAUCGACCAAUCCUUCUAGGGCAAGUCUAGGCACGAGCCUUGAAGAAAUGGGCUAGUCAGGUUAGUCAGGCCCAACAACAUCUAGUUUUUUUCUGUUUUUUAAUUAAUGCUUUUUACUUUAUUUGUAUUUAGAUUAAUAUCUCUUCUCUAUUUUAUUUUGUUUAAAAAACCUCUUUUAAAUUAGUUAAAAAAAACAGGUGUUUUGAAAGAAAAAAAAGUUUGAAGCCCAAUUUUCCAAUCAUCAGAAUAUUUUUUUUCAAGUCACCCUACCCCAAAUGCAGCAAAAACAAUAAAGGCCCAGUCUCUCCAUUUUUCAGCACAAGUCCAGGCACGAGCCUUGAAAAAAUAAGCCGAACAAGCUAGCUUGAUACAAAAGCGUCUGGUUUUUUUUGUUUUUUUAAUUAAUAUUUUUUUAUUUUAAUAUUUUUUAUUUUAUUUGUAUUUAGAUUAAUAAUUCUUCUCUUUUUUAUUUUGUUUUGAAAGCUUCUUUUAAAUAACAAUUAUUUUUUAGUUAUAUAUAUAAUUUUUGAAAAAAAAUUUCUUAUUCAUCUAUAAUCUUUUAUAAUUUUUUUUAAUAUUUUGUAUAUAUGAACUUUGUUUUGAAGAGGGGAAAAAAUUUAUUUGCAGAUAAUAUAUUGCAUAAUAUUUUUUUAUUUAAAUAAUUAAUGUGUAUUUAUUUAUAUUAUCAUUUAAUUGAAUAAAAAACCAUUUAACUACUUAGAAAAUUUUUAUAUAAACAAGUUUAACCAUUUUUAUAUAACAUUCUACAGAAAAGUUUGUGCUGGGAAGACCCCCGGCAUGUAAUCUAGGGAGAUUUGUCUUAACCAUAUCCUCUCAGUAAAGUUUUGGGAUCUAAGAUCCCUGCCACAUUAACAUCAGAGUGUUUAGAUUUGUGGUUUAGCGUAUUUUUUAAAGUAAUAUUAUUUAAAAAUGUAUUAAAAUAAUAUUUUUAAAAUUUUUUAACAAACAUAUAAAAAAAACUAAAAAGUAUUAUUUUAAAAAAUAAAAAUACGGUUCAACUUUAUCUCCGCGGCACACCACAAAUACAAACACAAAUUACUCGGUAGAAUGCAAGUAGAGAAGUUAUAUAGACAAGUUAAACCAUUUAACUGACUUCAUUGUCACACUCAGGAGAGUUGGGUUGCAGAUCAUACGCAAUUCAUGCUGCUGAAUAUUAUAACAGAACGAUAGUAUACUAGUUUAAAGGAUUUCAUAUUCGUAUUUAAUUAUUUAAUUAUUUUAUUUUAUUUGUGGGGUGUACCUAAAAAUGAGUUACAACAUAGUGCAUAGCGGGGAUAGGCGGAGCUUGAGCGUCAAGCAAGGUACGAUCAAUGAACAGUGGGCUGGUAAGAGAUAGUCCUCUUGCUAUUUCGGACCACGAGUUCAUAAAAUGGAUUGCAGAAGUUCCAUCUCCCAAGAUAUGGUGUAAGCCAACUCCAAGACAUACUCCUCCACAUUUAAAGAAGGUUGCCUAUUAGUCGUGGCGGAGCCAGAGUAUUUAAAAUGAGAGUACAUAUUAAUAAACAAAUAAUGAUAUUCAUAAUAUUGAAGUGUGCUUCCUUCUAGAAACUAAAAUUAAGAUUUGCACAGAUUCUCUUAUUUUUCGUGUUUGGAAUAAUAGCAAUAUUAAUUGGGCUUGUAACGAGGCUGAAGGUAGUAGAGGGGGUAUGAUUGCUCUUUGGGAUGAUACUAAAUUUCAGGUUUCAUCAGUUGAAUAUGGUUACGGGUGGAUUGGUCUAUACGGUCAGCAUAUGCAAAGUGGUUUUAUCUGUGCUAUUGUUGGUGUUUAUGCCCCUUGUUCUAUGUCAGAAAAAAAGGGAUCUUUGGAAGAACUUGUGUAUCCUUAGACAUGCCUUCCCUAUUCCGUGGUUGAUGGUGGGAGAUUUUAAUGAGACUUUGAAUCAGAUUGAUAGAAGCAGUGGCUAUCUUCAUAUCAAGGGCUCUUCAGCUUUUAGGAAUUUUCUGGAUUCUUGUCACCUUAUUGAGUAUCAACUGGCUGGAGGUUACUUCACUUGGUUCAGGAAUUGCUUGAUGAGCAAACUAGACCGUGCUUUCUCAGAUGAAUCCUUUCUUCUACAAUUCUCAAAUGUAAUGCUCCAUCGAUUACCCAGAGAAAUGUCAGACCAUUGCCCCUUGCUUGUUUCUGAUUCCCUCCUAGAGAGCGGUUAUCGGCCUUUUAAAUUUUUGGACUGUUGGCUUCAAUUUCCUAACUUCAAAAAUAUUAUUAGAGGCUUUUGGUUUGAUGGGUGUACAACAUUCCCAGGACGUUUCAGAUUUAUUAAGAAGCUUAGCUUUGUAGCAGCUCAACUUCGGCGAUGGAACAAAGAUGAUUUUGGUGAUCAGGAGUACAAGCUUCAGGUUGUGAUUUCCCAAAUUGAUGAUCUAGAGAGAAAACAGGAGGCUGAUCCUCUAUGUCCCUCAGAUCACCUCAAGCUUGAAUCUCUUAUAAAGGAUAAAUGGACCUACAGUAAUAGAGUUGAAUGCAAGUGGAGGCAGAGAUCUAGACAGUUGUGGUGCAAGCUAGGGGAUCGUAAUACCAGGUUUUUCCAUUUGAUAGCUAACUUCAGAAGAGCUAAAUCUCAUAUUAUGAUGAUCAAUCAUAAGGGGGCUGAACUCCGGUCAUUACCAGAAAUCAAAUCUGCUGCUGAUUAUUUUUUAAUCUGUAUAGAGCUCCAAUUGGGAAGAAAGCAGAGAUGGGUCAAAAAGGUUAAAUUCAAAGUUGUCUCUUUGGCUAGAGCGAGAUGUGACAUUGGAUGAAAUUAAAAGAUGUGUGUGGGAUUGUGAUGGUUCUAAGAGUCCUGGUCCAGACGGUUUCAAUUUUAAAUUCUAUAAGCUCGCUUGGGAUUUUAUUGCAGAAGACUUAUUGGACCUGAUCACUGAAUUUUUUAGAACAGGGUCUAUGCCGAAAGGGGUUAACCUCUCCUAUAUCACUUUGGUGCCGAAAAGAAAGGUUACUAUGGAAUUCAAAGAGUAUCGCCCCAUUAGUUUGAUCCAUGGUAUUUACAAGAUUAUUGCGAAGAUUUUGUCCAGCAGAUUAAAGGAAGUAAUAGGCAGCUUGAUUAGUGACAAUCAGACUGCUUUUAUAGCAGACAGACAAAUUGUUGAUGGUUUUAUGGUAGCUAAUGAAGUGGUUUAUGAUCUAAAAAGAAGUCGAAGAUCGGGUCUCAUCUUCAAGGUUGAUUUCCAAAAAGCUUUUGAUUCAGUUCUAUGGGAUUACAUUGAUGAGGUGAUGACUUACAUGGGUUUUGGUGCUAAAUGGAGAGGGUGGAUUUCCUCUUGCUUGUCUACUAGUCAGGUUUCAGUCUUAGUCAAUGGCUCUCCUUCCCCAGAGUUCAAAGUGGGGCGAGGUAUUAGGCAAGGUGAUCCCCUAUCUCCCUUUCUUUUUAAUAUUGCUGCUGAAGGUCUAUCUGUUCUCUUCCAACGUGCGGCAUCCUCAGACAUCUUUCAGGGUAUUGAUUUUGGCUCCAAUAACUUCUUAAGUCACCUUCAAUAUGCAGAUGACACUCUUGUCUUUAUGCCAGCUAGUUUGCAUGCCCUCCAGUCAGUUAAAAGAGUCUUAAGGUGGUUUGCUCUAUGCUCAGGCUUGCACAUUAAUUUUUUUAAGAGUUCUCUUAUAGGAAUCAAUGUUGAUGACUCCUGCUUGGAUGAGUUUGCAAAAUCAGUUUACUGCAGGCAUGAUUCUCUUCCAUGUAAUUACCUGGGAAUGCCUUUGGGGUCUAACCCUAGAAGGAUUUCAACAUGGAAACCCGUCAUUGAUAAGUUUCGAAAGAAACUCACUUCGUGGAAAGGGAGAAUGUUAAGCAUGGCCGGUUGCAUUUGCCUUAUCAAAAGUGUGUUGAACUCCCUUCCUUUGUACUUCAUGUCCAUCUUCCUUAUGCCAAAAGGUGUGUGUCGCUUACUUACUUCCAUCCAACGCAAAUUCUUAUGGUCGGGAACUGUCAAAAUGAGAAAAAUUUGCAAAGUCCAAUGGAGCGUGGUUGUUAGAGAUAAAGAUAGGGGUGGCCUUGGGAUUAGGUCAUUGAUAGCCAAGAAUAAAGCAAUGAUUUUCAAGUGGAUUUAGAGGCUCUCUCUUCCUGGUAAUGAGCUGUGGAAGAAGAUGAUAUUCAACAAAUUCAAGCCGGUGUUUGAAAAUGAUUUCCCUAUUUUUAGUAGAAGAUUGUCUUGUAUCUGGAGGGAUAUAACAUCCCUUAUGACCACAACAGACUCUGUCUCUUCAGCUUUAGCCAAUAAUUGCAGAUUUGUAGUGGGAAAUGGCUCUCUGACUCGAUUCUGGUAUGAUGUUUGGUUUGAUAGCUCUCCAUUGAAAGUCAUCUACCCUCGACUCUACAUUCUUACCACUAAACCGAAUGCCACAAUUGCUGACAUGGGAAUUUGGGAGCAAGGAGAAUGGAAGUGGGAGUUAGCUUGGAGGAGACAAUUGUUCCUCUUUGAAACUGAGCAGGUCGUCUACCUUCUCUCAUCUCUAGAAAGCUUUCGAAUAAAGGCAACAACUUUAGAUAAAAAAGUCUGGUCCUCUUCAACAGAUGGAGGGUAUACAGUUAAAACUUGUUCUCUACUUAUUGACAAGAUUGUGAAUCCAGGGCUUAGAACUUUCAAGGCUUCGAUAUGGCAAAAAGGGGUCCCUCCUAAGGUUCAAUCUUUUCUUUGGCUAGCUGUUCAGAAUAGACUAUGCACUAAGGAUUUCUUACUUGACCGUAAUAUAAUCCCAGUUGAUCAAGCCUUUUGUAUCUUUUGUGAAAAUGAGAUUGAGACUUCAAAUCAUCUUCUCCUCCAUUGUAGACCAGUGUGGAAAUUAUGGAUGAAAUUCUUGGAUUGGUGGGGUAUUAGUGGUUGCCUUCCCUGCUGUGUGGAUGAUCUUUUACAUCAAUGGCCCAACCUAGUGUUCGGAAAAUUCCAGCGUAAGGCUUGGUCUAUGCUUUCUUGUUGUGUUAGCUGGAGUAUAUGGCUUAUGAGGAACAAGGUAAUCUUCAAUGAUGGAACUGCGACCUUCGAAGAUAUUUUCUCCUUAAUUCUUUAUCGCCUCUCAAAUUGGCUCAAGUUUGUAGAUAAGUUCUUCAUGGCUACUGGCACUACUUUAAUUAUGGGUCCUGAAGGUAUUAUAGAUUGGUCUAACACCAAAUAAAGGCUUUUAGCAUGGCGUAUCAACUUCUUCAUUCCUAAUGUCCUUUUUCAGUUAUGUAUCUGUUGACUUUCUUUUCCUUUCUUUUUGUGUUUGUUUUUUGUUAUUGUGAUUUUUUUUUUUCAUGUAUCUUGUUUUUGGCUACCUUCUGGUUAGCCCUUUCAAUAUAUCGACUUAUUCCAAAAAAUAUUAAUAAACAAAUAUUAUAUUAUAUAGAUAUAUAUUAAAAAUCAAUUCGAAACAAAUAUAUUAAUUUAUUUAAAAUAAAAUUAAUUUAAAAAUACUUUUAAAAUGAAAAAACUUAUAUUAUAAUUAUUCUCUUUAAAUUUUCAUAAUAAAAAACAUAUUAAUUCAUCAAAACUCAUUUUACACCCCAUUACCAUGUAGCAUGCUGUAAAUAAUACAUGAAUAUGGAUCAUCAUUGAUAGUUUAAAUUUAUCAUGAUAGAUCAUUUUUAAAAAUAAAAUAAAUAUUUUUUUCUUUUUUUUUAAACCAAUCUUUAAUUUUGCAACUAUCAAUAUUUACUUAUUGAAAACAAUUGAAAUAUUUGUUUGUUUAUCUCAUGAAAAAAUUUAAUUUCAUACCGUAACCAAUUCAAUUAGAAAUAAUAUAAUUUUUAAUUAAUUCAAAAUAAUUAAAUCAAUACCUAUUUUUCAAAACAAUUCAAAAAAAAUUAAAGGGGCAAUUGCCCCCUUAAUCUCCCUAUGUGGCUCCGCCACUAAACACAUUUUUCAAACUCAAUAUAAAUAAAAAAAAACUAAAAAACUAGUUUUUUUCAUUUUCAAGAUACAAAAAAUAAAUACUUGGAUUUGAUUUUUUAGGUUAUUUGUGGUGAUAAUAGUGACUGAAAAUUGAAAUAAGAUAAAGGUGAGAAGAGUAAUAAAAAAAAUUGAAUUUAGUAUUUUAAACAUAUAAAUUCAAUUUAUUUGUCAAUUACAAUAGAAUUAAUUCCAAACAACCUCUGAAUAAAACCAUUAUAGGCUGAAUAUGUACCAUUAUUAAAACCUCAACUACACAGUCACCAAAACACUCUUCUUUUCUCUUCCUGUCAUAUUGUCUGUCCUCGAUUUUAUGCCUUGCGUAGUCUUGAAAAAAUAAGGCCUUGAACAAAAAAAUAUUUGGAUAUGAUAUUUUGGGUUAUUUGUGGUGUUAGCAGUGAAGGUGAUAAGGAUAAUAUAAAAAACAAGAUAAAUUAAAUUUAGUGUUUCAAAACAUAUAAUUAAUUUCAAUUUACUUAUUAAUUAAAUUCAAAUUUAAUACAAUAAUUAAAUUCAAUUACAAUAAAAUUAAUUUCAAACAACAUGUAAAUAACAUUAUUAAGUGUGAUGUUGAAAAAAAAAACACAACAAAUGAAGUUAUACCGUAUAAAUCAUGAACUUGCGAAUUAGAAAUCGUAAAAGAACUUCUUGAAGAGUUCCAUGUGAUGGCUUUCUAGGCAAAUAAAUAUCAUUAAGCUCCCAUCAUUAUUUGGGCAUCGAGCAAUGUAUGCCAUGCCUUCGAAGCCAACAAUUGCGGGCCCCAUAAAAGAGGGUCGACCCCAACCAAAGUCAGCAUCAUAUAUCGGCAUUGUCAUCCAACUCACAACAUUGAUGUUUGGAUUAUUAAAUGUGUGUGGCCCUCGCUUCAAAGCUUCUAAAUCAGUCUGGACCUGCAAAUAAUCAAUGGCUGAUCUCAAAUAUUCAUUGUCCAUUCUUUUCAAUGCUCCACGGAUUUUCGCUAUGGUAUGCACCAAUGGCUUUGAUUGCAUUUCGCCUGAUAAACCUAAAAUUGCUGUUGUGAAAAGAACAUUGCCACAGUAUCCGGCUGGCAAUGGUGGGUUCAAUCUUGAUCGCCCAUCUGUUGGAAUGUGUAGUUUUGUUGCUUGGUCGUUGGAGAUUCCACGUGCCUUGCAGGUGCAUUGCCAAAUAUGUGCUGCUAGGGUUUCAAAGGUGCUAUAGUUGAUAGUGCCAUCACCAACGUCUUUUCUAGACUUGUUUCUUAGGGUUCGGAGUUGAUCACAUGUGAUGGUUAGGAUUUUUGCACAAGUGGGUUUCGGAUUUGAUUGGAUUUCUGGGGUUUGGUCACCGGAGAUAUGGGUGUUCAGGGGAGGAGGGGGGUCGUAUUCUACGUGAUGCAUAGCAGGGAUAGGCGGAACUCGAGCAUCAAGCAAGGUACGGUCAAUGAACGGUGAGGUGGUAAGAGAUAGUCCUCUUGCUAUUUCAGACCACGAGUUGAUAAAAUGAAUUGCAGAAGUUCCAUCUCCUAAGAUAUGGUGUAAGCCAACUCCAAGACAUACUCCUCCACAUUUGAAGAAUGUUGCCUGUUAGCAACAUACACAGCACGUAAAUCAUAAGCAGAAAACACUUUUAAGUUUCUAAAACUCAAUACAAAUUUAAAGAAAGUUCUUUUAAAAAACUAAAAUAAUACUUUGUUUCUUCUAAAAAGAUGUCAAAUUGCAAAUAGUAAUAUAUGCAUAUUAAUUUAUUAAACUUGUUUUCCUAUCAAAGAAUGCAUGGGAGAUGCAAUGAUUGUACGUAGAUAAUGUAAUUAAACACAUUAAAUAUGGAAACUAAUAAAUCUAUUGUUAUCUCAACGUUCAAAUAAGAUCUGAGUGAUUCAAAUAAAUUAUUUUAUAAUAUGCUACUUUUCAUUUCAAAUCUAGCAUAAACCCUAAAAAAUCACGCACAACACAAAUAAUUUCAAUACUUUUGAAUAAAAUCCAAAGACAGCAUCAAAAACCUUACCUGUAACAGUAGCAGAGGAUAGGAAAAUAUGUUUGAACGAUCAACUUCUGGAACGAACUGCAGCAUCUCAAAGUGGGGAGUAAAAUCCCCCAGUUCAUCAGUGGUAGAGCUUGUUUCAACCUCGACAAAUAGAACUCCUCUGGCAUUACACAAUAUCGACAUCCUACCAUUUUGAUCCUUCUCUAACCUCCCUGCCAUAUGGUAGAAUGGCACAAGAGCCUUGCUCAGAGCCUCCUUGAGCACUUGAGGGUUAAAAAAACUGCAAGAAUCAUUAACUGGCUUGUAGAAGUAUAUUGUUGGGACGUGUACAAUUGGCACCAAGAGGUCCAGAUUUGAGCUCCAUAGGCUUUUUUUUGGUGUCUCUUCCGCAGGACGUACAAUAGUUGACUCUUUUAUUCGAAUAUCAACUUUUACCAUCUGCACAGCAACAAAAUCAUGUUAAAGACCUGUUGAUAUAUAUAAGUUGUUUAAAUUGUUGAAAAUCAACUCCAUGUUCUUAUCUUGAAAGAGAAAAAUAGAGAGAGAGAGAGAUUCGUCAUACCUUGCGGCCCUAUACAGAGAAUAAAAUUACUUUUAGAAUUAGGGGGCAAAAAAAGCUUCGUCCCCACCCUCACGCACUCAGAGGAGGAGGAAAGAGGGGCUUUUGUACACAGUUGGUGAAGACGAAUCCUAUUUAUAGAUAGACAAACAGCUUAACAUAUUUUCUUUAACGUUUUAGAAUUUAGAGGGGGAAAAAAAUGAAAGUGGGAGUUAUUAAUUUGAAGUGUCAGACAAAAUAUAAUAUUGCAAGUAAUGCAAGGUGUUCUCUAGCUACUUCUCCGACAAAUCUUAAUUUCACAUUCAUACAAAUCUUAAUAUCACAGGGAUACAAGUACAUAUUUGUUAUGGAAAGUACUUUCUGAUAAAUUAAUUUUCAAAUUUUAUUGUGUUUGUUUGUUAUUAAAAAAGUUGGUCAAUAUAAAACAUUUUCUGGUCAACAUAAAAUACUUUCUAGUCAAUGGAAAACACUUUCCGGUCAACGAAACAUAUUUUUCAGUCAAAGAAAAAUUUGGCUUGGUUUUUAGGAAAAUAUUUUUCCUUUAGCUGUGUUUGUUUUUCGGAAAGUGAUUUUCAGGAAAUCACUUUCCAAACUUUCUUGUGUUUGUUUGUCAUUAGAAAAGUUAGUCAAUGGAAAACACUUUCCAGUAAAAGAAAAAUUUAACUUAGUUUUCAAGAAAGUGUUUUCCUGAAAAUUUUGAGGGAAAAACACUUUCCGGAAGUUGUGAAAAAUUUAGAAAUGUCAUUAUUUGCUAAUUAUAUCAAAUUUGAUCCUCAAACUUUUGAUUGCUAUAUAUAUUUUGUUUUGAAUAUUUAUUUUUCAAUUUCAUCUCUUAAAAAUUUAUUUUUAUAUUAACUUUGGUCCUUAUUUUUAUAAUUGCUAUUUGCUUUUUCCUUAUCAAUUUUUUAUUGAAAUUUUUUAUCUAUCAAAUUUGGUCCUUAUUCUUUUGAUUGUUACUUAUUUUAUUUGAAAUAAUUUAUGAAAUAUUAAUUAUUAUUAUUUUAAUUUCUUCAUCUUUUUUUAUUUUUUUUUAAAAAAAUUUAGAUUUGAUCUCUAUUAUUUUGAUUAUUAUUGAUUUUAUUUGAGAUAAUUUAUGAAAUUAUAUUUUUUUUCAAUUUUUUUCUCAUUUAAAUUUUUAAUUUUUAAUACUUAUUCUUUAUUAUUUUAAUAAACUUGAGAAAAAUAAAAUAUUAAUAAGUUAUUUUUCAGCUCAUUUUCUAUUACAUAACCAAACACUGGAAAAUGUUUUCCAACUUACUUUCCAUUACACUACCAAACAUCAGAAUUCACAUUCCCGAAAUUCACAUUCCUGAAAUUUACUUUUUCAGAAUUUAUUUUUCUUAAAAUUUAUAUUUUUUUUAAAUAUUACUUCUCAGCAAAUAAACCGGCUAAAUCUUAAUUAAUAGCUACUCGGGAAUCACUAUAUAUUUUAUGGAUAUAAGAUGGUCAUGGAAUCCAUGCAUUUAAUGCCCUAGAUCAUUAUCUCUGUUGCUGUUGCACUGGGAACGACAAUAUCUCCUAUCGACACCUCAUUGGUAGUUGAGUUUAAAUGAUUGUCCUACUCCUACAUAUUGUCAUUAUCCAUGCAUUUUAAGAUAACAAAAAAUAUUUAGAAGUUCUCAAUAUUUUUUAUUCUAGUAGAAAUUUAAAUUGAAUUAACCCUAUUAAUUUUAUGAGUUUAAAAAAUAACUCGAACAACCUAUAAAAAUAUUCAUGAUGAUAUUUUUUAAUAUUAAAAUAACAAAUAUUAGAUUAAUUUGGAUCAACACAGGUUAUGAAAUUAUAAAAACUUUGUAGAAAACAUAUCAAAAUAAAUUAUAAAACUUAAUCCCCAGUCAAUUUAAUGUUGAAGAAUAAAAUUAAAAAAAAUCAAUUAUUUUUUUUAAAAAAAAGGAAAACCAAUUUAAUCUGUGAAAUUCACUACCCAAGUCAUAAAACUGAGAUAAUCUCAUAGAAAAUAAAUCAAAAUAAAUUAUGAAAUUCAAUUAUCGGUUAAAUUAAUAUUAAAUGAUAAGAUUAAAAAAAAUCAAUUAAAAAUAAUAAAAAAAAAUAACUCAAAACAUCCCCAAAUUUAUAAUAUAACUUAAAGAUAAUUUUCUCUUCAUUUAAAGUGAAAAAACGAGGCUAAUUCCUUUUUGUCACAGCAUAUUAUCAAUGAUAAUGCUCAACUAGAAUAAUUCAAGUUAUUGAUUUGGUUGGCCAAUUUCUCCCAUAUUUUUUUAGUUUUUCUUAUUAGUCGAUUAAUCAGUUGACAGGUUUCAUCGAUCGAUUAAAACAAUAAUGACUUGAAGUAUACAUUUAAUCAAAUGGUCAACCGAAAUGAUUUGUACACUCAGUCAGUCCAUCGACAUCGGAUGUUGUUGCUAUUUAUGUUUUGAAUUAUAACAAGUUAAAUGUAACAACCUCACUUUUAUUACAUUUCCAAUUUCCUGACCCGUCAUCCUAGAUUAACCCCACAUCAUUAUACACAAGAAUAGACAAUAUAUUUUAAAAGUGUAUUUUACAUGAAAAAAUAUUAAAAUAAUAUAUUUUAUAUAUUUUUUAAUUGUUUUAAUAUAUUAAUAUUAAAAAAUAUAUUUUUAAAAAGUAUUAUGCAUUAUAAUAUAAAACACACAUUAACUCAAAACCAUCUCGAAUGAAAAAAAAAAGUAAAUAAAUAAAUCGAUGUCCCUAACAAUGAUUCACUAUGGACCUACCCGACGCUGGACUUAUAAACAUGGCACUGAUGGAGUUAAACAAAUUGUCAGAAGCCAUAGAUGAUUUUUAUAUCUUUUGCAUACACCACUUGCUUUUUAAAUACAAAAUUAUUAUUUUAAUGAUAAAUUACAUUAUUAUUUUUAUCUAAACUUACAAUUAAAAAAAACAAGGCUAAAAAACUCAAAUACCCCAAACAACAAUGAAUUCAAUAAUUUGUAUCUAAAAGAUACAUGUAUAAUUCUAUUGUGUAUGAAAAGACAAAAUACUUAAAUACCCUUACCCGAGAUAACUGUUUUUUUUUAGGAUAUUUUGAUUAUUUUAUUGUUCAUUAACACAUUAAAUGUAUAAACAGAAAUAAUCGUAAACAAAUCAAUAAUGAUUAUUACAACUUGUAAAAAUAUUAAAAUACUCUUAGUCUAAAAAUUUGUUUUUUAUAUAAAGAAAAAAAAAAUGCAAAAUAAUCAUAUUACACACGGAAUGCAAUUCUAAAUUUCUAGUCCCGCCAUGAAUAAUGUUUUUCUUUUCUUGAUCCCAGACAUCUCCUCUAUGAUUGAUUGUAUCAUUAUUACCGUCCUAACUAUUUAAUUUACGACGACAUUUACAUCGAAAAAGGUGUGAAAAUAAUCCAUUAAUAAUACACAAGUUGUCAAUUCUAUUCCGUUCCGUCUGAAAUGGUCGAAAUAUUCUAUAUCAAUUCAAACAACGGAACAAAACGGAAUAAAUUUUAUCUCAUUUUAAAUCUCGGCUCGUUCUGAAUUUUUCAAAACGAUGACAAAAAGUCAUUCUACAUAUUCCGUUCCGCUCUUGAAAAGUCAUUAAAUCAAAUUAAACAUUGUUUAAUUUCAUUAACUAAAUCACCUAAUUAUAAAAAGUUCUUUUUCAUUCCUAUUUUCAAUAGCAAUGAUAUUAAUAAUAAUAUUAAAAAUUAUUAUUACUAUUUUCAUUAACAAUGAUAUUAAUUUUUUAAAAUUAGAUUUAUCACUAAUAUAUAUGGUUUAUAUUCAUGUUGUUUUUUUUUUCUUCAUAUUUAUACUUUGUAGGAAUUUGAGCAAAACAAGGAAUGCUUUAUAUUCCAUUAGCCACUUGAUAACAUUGACUUAAUUUUAUAUUUAAAAUAUUUUUGUUAAAACAUUUUAUUUUCAUAAUAUUUUGAUAUUUUAUUUAAGUUGAAUUACUUUAAGUUAAAGAUCCAUUUAAUCUUGACUAUUUAGAAAUAUUUUAAAAUUUAAAAUUAUAUUUGUUUGGCAUUGUGUUUAUAUUGCAUAAUUUAUAAUUAAUUUAUCUUGAAUUUGAAUUAUGUUUGUUGAAUAUAUAUAUAUAUAUAUAUAUGAACAGUACAACUUUAAAACGAUAUGCCAAAACAUUUCAAAACUGAAACAUUUCAUUUUAAUUGAAAAAAUAAAAUAUUUAUUGAAAUAGAAUUUACACCCUUGAUAUAAUACGUUUGAUGUAGGGCAUGGUUCGCCGUGGACCUACCAUCUUUAAUAAGUUUGAUGCACUCGGAUAAAUUGUCAGAAAGCCAUAGAUAAUUAUGGAUCCUACAAAAUGUCAUGUCCUUGCCUUUGUCUAGAUUUUAAACAUGGCAUGGAAUUAACUGGACAUCAAUUAAAAACUCAAAAAAUGAAAGGGAAAUGAGGGAAAAUAUAGAUGUAUAAAGAAACUAAAAAUCACAAAAUAUAUACAAAGCACGUCAAUCAUAAACAGAAAACACAUUUUUCAAACUCAAUAUAAAUAAAAAAAACUAGUUUUUUUCAUUUUCAAGAUAGAAAAAAUUCUCUCCUCCGAGUAGCCUAUAAAACUACUGUCUAAAUACAAAAAAAAAAAUGCUAAUAAAUAAAAUUCUAAAUAAAUUGAAAGUCAUAGUCUAAAUAAAAAGGAAUAAAAAAAACAAGAUAAAUAAAGAAAAUCUUGUGUAUAACUUAAGCUGAAUUUAGAUAUGCGAGCUGACUCAAGUGAAUUAUUUGUCUUCGAAUAUUUAAAUCUGGUAACAGGUUCUUUGCAUCUCACGUGAUAUAUUAUAUAAUUAAUCCUUACACAUCCUUCCCAUGCUAUGAGUACUUUGCCUUGGAUUGGUAAAAAACACUGUAGAACACAAAUAGUUUCAAUACUUUUGAACAAAAUCCAAAGAAACAUAAAACUCACCUGUGCGAGUAGUAGAGGAUAGGAAAAUAUGCUUGAACGAUCGACUUCUGGAAUGAACAGCAGCAUCUCAGAGUGGGGAGUAAAAUCACCCAGUUCAUCAAUGGUAGAGCUUGUUUCAGCCUCGACAAAUAGAACUCCUCUGGCAUUACACAAUAUCGACAUCCUACCAUUUUCAUCCUUCUCUAACCUCCCUGCCAUAUGGUGGAAUGGCACAAGAGCCUUGCUCAGAGCCUCCUUGAGCACUUGAGGGUCAAAAAAAGUGGAAGAACCAUUGACUGGCUUGUAGAAGUAUACUGUUGGGAUGUGUACCAUUGGCACCAAGAGGUCCAGAUUUGAGCUCCAUAGGCUUUUUUCUGGCGUGUCUUCGGCAGUGAUAAGGGAAUUUUUAGCAUAUAUAUUUUUCGCUAUUCAUGCUUGAUUUUUAAAUAUUUUGGAUAUGUUGAACAAGAAAAUUAGAAUUUUGAAUCUCUUUUUGAACUAUUGACCUCGUGGGAAAUUAAUGUGUUUUCAGAUCUUAGGUUACUAAACAGGCAGAGCCGGGCAGUGAAACUGAACAGUGAUUCAUUAUGUGCUGCAAAGAAGCUAUACAAUUUAGUUCCGGAUGUUCGUAACCAUUUUCAAAUAGCUGAGAUGAAGGUCUACAAAACAUAUGAAGGGCAUAUAACUCAGUUUUGUUGUUUCGAAGCCCAAAAAGCGAGUUGAAAAACAAGGAUUGAACCAGCCCGAAACUCCUGCACUGCAAAGACUGCUUCGGUUUAUGGCCCUUAUCUCAGCACUCAGACGUCCAAAAAUUGCAAGAUCAGUUUUGUUGGAAAGAAAAUUUGAUUCUCUACAAUUUCUCCAGAAAUAGAGAUCUUCUAAUUCGCACGUUUUCUACCUCAAAUCGGGCCCGCAAUGUCUGAGUAGGAAGGAAUUUAAUGCAGAAUAGGAAAUUUUCCUCAUUACUGCAGGGGUAGAAAAGCCACAAUAUAAAAGAAGAGAAAAAGGGGGAUUGAAAGACGGAAACCUACAACAUAGAAAAAAAAAGAGAGGAGGCGGCACCAAGGGAAAAGAAAACAUUGGCAGAGGCAAAACUAUUCAAAAACCGGGAGGACACCUAUCUUUUCGACGGAAAUUCUCUGCUUUUGAGUGAUGUUCAUCGUAUCAAGUUUGUUUCUCUUUAAUUUAACUAUGGAGUAGACUUUUAUUCUGGGAUUUUUGAUGUAACCUUACUAUGAAUAUGUGAACAAUUUCUUCGAUUGAAUUAUUACAUUAAGAUGUUGAGUAUUUGAUUCUAUGUGUAAUGCUUGCGUGUGUUUGGCCAACAUUUGCAUGAUUUAGAAUUCAAUUUGAAACUGAGAAGUAAUAAUUGUUUUAGCUAUUGUUUGAAAUACCUUAAGAAAUCUAUAGGAUAGAGAUAUCCUAUGAACUUUUGUAAUCGUUACAGGUUUUACAGUACUUAAUAAAUAUCGACAAGUUCAGAACUUUCGUAGAGUAUAUGAAAUUUGUUUGUCGAAAUAAUUUAUUGAUGCUCGAGAGAGAUUAAUAUUUACAUUAGAAAAACCUGAUUAUCAACAUUAGGAGUAAUUAAUUUAAUUGAGAAAGUUCACAUAGGCAUAGUUACGGUAAGUCAGAAAUCCUAGAACCAGUACAAUUGAAUUCAUUAAUAUUUAAUCAAAUAGUUGUUACCUUUUAAUCAUUAAUUUUUGCAAAUCCUCGUGGGACGAUACUCUACUCAUCACUUUAUUACUUGUUACGAUUUAUGCACUUGCAAAAAUAACCAACAAGUUUUUGGCGCCGUUGCCGGGGAUUUUAGAUAAAAUUACUAAUAAUAUCAAUAUAAAUUAAAUUUGAUCUAAUUUGAUUGCCUUUUGUCUUCAGCUCUUUAGGUGUGUGUCUAGUGCAUGAGAAGCAACAAAAAUUAGCCGUUGCUACCUUAUAAUCCUGAGAUUGAGAGAACUGCAAGGGGAUUAAGAAAGAAAACGCGAGAGACUCAAAACAGUUCAAGCAUCAUGGUAGACAAUGGAAAUCCUGAGCAAGAUACACGGGCAUUGAGAGAUUUUGCUCUCCCACAGGUGACAGGAAUCCGUUCUGUUAUCAGGAAACCAAGGAUUGAGGCCAAUAAUUUUGAGAUCAAACCAGCAAUACUGCAGAUGAUUCAGACCUCAGUUCAGUUUUAUGGGUUGCCAAGUGAUGAUCCUAACGCCCAUAUUGCAAGCUUCUUGGAAAUUUGCGACACAUUUAAGCAUAAUGGCGUUACUGAUGAUGCCAUUCGCCUCAGACUGUUUCCAUUUUCUUUGCGAGAUAGAGCGAAGAACUGGUUAAACUCCAUGCCUGCAGAUUCAGUUAUCAGCUGGGAAGAUUUAGCUCAGAAAUUCCUUGCUAAAUUUUUUCCACCAGCCAAGACAGCAAAAAUGCGCAUUGAGAUAGCUAACUUCGCCCAACUUGAGAGUGAACCAUUGUAUGAGGCAUGGGAGAGAUACAAGGAUUUGCUCAGGCGAUGCCCCCACCAUGGACUACCGAAGUGGAUGCAGGUGCAGAAUUUUUACAAUGGAUUGAAUGCCUCCACAAGAACACUAAUUGAUGCAGCUUCAGGAGGAGCUUUUAUGAGUAAGUCACAGGAUGAUGCUUACAACUUAUUGGAAGAAAUGGCUAUGAACAAUUACCAAUGGCCAAAUGAAAGAAGCAUACAGAAGAAGACUAUUGGGGUGCACGAAAUUGAUGCAAUCACGGCAUUAACAGCUCAAGUCCAUUCACUAACUCAGCAACUGAAAACCACUCAACUGUCAGCAAAUGCCAUCCAUACAACGUGUGAUUUUUGUCAUGGAAAUCACACGAGUGAAGAGUGUCAGGUUGGGAACCCAUUCUCUCAAGCAGAGCAUGCUCAUUUUGUGUCAAAUUACAGCCGGCAGAACAACCCCUACAGUGCAACAUAUAAUCCCGGUUGGAGAAAUCAUCCUAAUUUCUCAUGGAACAAUCAAACUGUCAUGAAGAAUCCAGCCAUGCCAUCUUCAAGUGAGCACAUGAAGGAGAAAUCAAAACUUGAAGAAGCUAUGACACAAUUAGCAAACAACACCAGCAGAUUCAUGACUGAUACAAAUACCAAUCUGCAGAACCAAGCAGCGUCAAUUCGAAAUUUGGAGGUUCAGGUUGGUCAGUUAGCCAACAUGCUCACGGGUAGACAACAAGGAAAUCUACCAAGCACAACUGAAAUUAAUCCUAAGGAGCAAUGCAAGGCCAUAACUUUAAGAAGUGGAAAAGAAGUGGAGCAGACUGCUGGAAACAAGAGUGCGGGAAGAGAAGAAGAGGAGCAAAUGGCCGAACCAAUUCAGAAUAUGAAAAAAUCUGAUCCUCUGCCAGAACCAAUGCAAGAAAUAAUGCAAAGAAUUCCAUUUCCACAACGUCUCAAGAAGAAUAAACUUGAUAAGCAAUUUUCUAAAUUUCUUGAUGUGUUUAAAAAAUUGCAGAUUAACAUUCCUUUUACAGAUGCUCUUGAACAAAUGCCAAGCUAUGUGAAAUUUCUGAAGGACAUCCUCUCAAACAAAAGAAAGCUAGAGGAAUAUGAGACUGUCGCUCUUACUGAGGAAUGCAGUGCUAUUUUGCAGAAGAAACUGCCUCCUAAACUUAAGGAUCCAGGGAGUUUUACUAUACCAUGUUCCAUUGGAAAUUCUAUAUUUGAAAAAGCUUUAUGUGAUUUAGGUGCAAGUAUUAAUCUCAUGCCUUUAUCUAUUUUAAGAAGCUUGGUUUAGGUGAAGCAAGGCCAACCACAGUAACACUGCAGCUAGCUGACAGGUCAUUGAAGCAUCCAAGGGGAAUAAUUGAAGAUGUAUUGGUGAAAGUGGGCAAGUUCAUCUUUCCAGCAGACUUCAUCAUACUGGAUAUGGAGGAGGAUAAUGAGAUUCCUAUCUUGCUUGGCCGGCCAUUCUUGGCCACUGGAGGUGCGUUAAUUGAUGUGAAAAAGGGGAGCUGCGGUUAAGGGUGAAUGAAGAGGAGGUGAUUUUCAAUGUGUUCAAAGCCAUCAAACAACCAGAUAUGGGGGAGAGUUGCUUCAGCAUUCAAGUGGUGGACUCCUUAAUUAAUGAAAAAGUCAAGCUUCCAACUGACCCGUUGGAAGCAUGUUUGGUAAAUAAUGUACUGGAAGAGGAUGCUGAAAUAGCAGAAUAUACAUGUUGGAUGGACUCUUUUGAACCUAACCGUAGAAGAUACUUUGAAGAUUUGGGACAACCAGCACCAAAGAUAAAAUCAACCAGUGAACAAGCACCGGUUCUGGAAUUGCAACCUCUGCCAGAACACCUUCGGUAUGCAUAUCUUGGAGAAGCUUCCACCUAUCCUGUGAUAGUCUCUGCAAAGCUGACCAAAACAGAGGAAGAAAAAUUGUUGAGGGUGUUGAGAAAACAUAAGGCAGCUCUCGGGUGGGUAUUGGCAGAUAUCAAAGGCAUCAGUCCCUCUAUUUGCAUGCAUAAAAUUCUGUUGGAGGAUGAAGUCAAGCCAACAGUAGAACAUCAGAGAAGGCUUAACCCGACCAUGAAAGAGGUAGUCCGAAAAGAAGUUCUGAAAUGGUUAGAUGCUGGUGUUAUUUAUCCAAUCUCUGAUAGCUCAUGGGUGAGCCCAGUUCAAGUUGUGCCAAAGAAAGGAGGAAUGACAGUGGUAAAGAUGCAAACAACAACUUGAUACCUACUAGACCGGUAACUGGAUGGAGGAUUUAUGGAUUAUCGAAAGCUCAACAAGGCAACUCGCAAAGAUCACUUCCCCCUACCAUUCAUUGAUCAGAUGCUGGACAGGUUAGCUGGGCAUGAAUACUACUGUUUCCUAGAUGGCUAUUCAGGAUACAACCAAAUAGCCAUCGCACCUGAGGACCAGAGAAGACCACUUUCACCUGCCCUUAUGGUACUUUUGCUUUCAGAAGAAUGCCUUUUGGGUUGUGUAAUGCACCAGCUACCUUUCAAGGUGCAUGAUGGCUAUUUUUUCAGAUAUGGUGGAGCAAAUCAUUGAGAUCUUCAUGGAUGACUUUUCUGUAUUUGGAACUUCUUUUGAUGACUGCCUUGCAAAGUUGGCGUUGGUUUUGGAGCGUUGUGAAAAGACAAACUUGAUAUUGAACUGGGAAAAAUGUCACUUCAUGGUAAAGGAAGGUAUAGUGGGGCACCGGAUUUCAGAAAAAGGAAUAGAGGUAGACAGAGCUAAAAUUGAGGCAAUAGACAAGCUUCUGCCGCCAACUACAGUAAAAGGGGUUAGGAGUUUCCUUGGUCAUGCGGGAUUUUAUAGGAGGUUCAUCAAAGACUUCUCUAAAAUAUCCAACUAUGCAGUCUGCUGCUAAAAGACACAAAGUUUCAGUUUGAUGAGGAAUGCAAGACACCUUUAUGCUGUUGAAAAAGAAGUUAGUGACAGCUCCUAUUGUAAUUGCACCGGAUUGGGAGAAACCAUUUGAGCUUAUGUGUGAUGCAAGUGAUUAUGCAGUUGGAGCAGUACUGGGGCAACGGAAAAAUAAUGUGUUUCACACCAUAUACUAUGCCAGCAGAACACUCAACGAUGCCCAGCUCAAUUAUGCCACAACCGAGAAAGAGUUGCUUGUUGUGGUCUAUGCAUUUGAUAAGUUUCGGCCUUACCUGAUGGGAAACAAAGUACUGGUAUAUACUGAUCAUGCUGCAAUUAGACACCUAGUGUCUAAGAAAGAUGCCAAGCCUAGACUCAUCCGUUGGAUCCUAUUACUGCAAGAAUUGAUGUAGAAAUUAAAGAAAAAGGGGACUGAGAACGUGGUGGCAGAUCAUCUUUCAAGGCUGGAAUUGACACAGCAGCUGGAGCCUAAAUUCACGGUUAUAAAUGAAUGUUUUCCUGAUGAAGACUCUUAGCAAUUUCCACUAACAAAUUCUUUCCUUGGUAUGCAGAUUAUGUCAACUUUCUUGCAGGUAAGAUCAUACCGCCAGAUUUUUCUUACCAGCAAAAGAAGAAAUUUUUUUCUGAAGUCAAACACUACUUCUGGGAGGAGCCGAUACUCUAUCGGCAUUGUGCAGAUCAAGUCAUCAGGCGGUGUUCCAGAAGAGGAAAUGACAAAAUAUUGAAGCACUGCCAUACACUUGAAUAUGGGGGGCACUUUGGCACACGCACUGCAGCCAAAGUUCUGCAAGUCAGGUUUUUAUUGGCCCACUAUGUUUAAAGAUGCUCAUGCUUUUGUUACUACUUGUGAUAGAUGUCAGCAUACUGGGAACAUAUCUCGAAGAAAUGAAAUGCCACUACAGAAUAUCCUAGAAGUUGAAUUAUUUGAUGUUUGGGGCAUCGAUUUCAUGGGACCUUUUCCUUCAUCCUAUAACAACAAAUACAUUCUCUUAGCAGUGGAUUAUGUAUCAAAGUGGAUGAGGCAAUUGCAACGCCUACAAAUGAUGGCAAGGUGGUACUUAAUUUCUACGAAAGAACAUCUUUACCAGAUUUGGUACUCCUCGAGCCAUCAUCAGUGAUGAAGGAACUCAUUUUUGCAACAAGCAGUUUGAAGCACUGUUAUCUAAGUAUGGAGUCAGACACAAAAGAGCAUUGGCUUAUCAUCCUCAGACAAAUGGCCAAACAGAGGUAUCAAAUAGAGAGGUGAAGCAAAUCUUAGAGAAAACAGUAAGUAAUUCUCAAAGAUUGGGCAAGAAAGCUAGAUGAUGCAUUGUGGGCAUAUCGGACAGCAUUCAAAACACCAUUGGGAAUGUCUCCGUAUCGAUUAGUUUUUGGAAAAGCAUGUCAUCUUCCUGUUGAAUUAGAGCAUAAGGCAUACUGGGCAAUGAAACAACUGAACAUGGAUUUGCAGGUUGCAGGUGAGAAAAGAAUCCUGCAACUUAAUGAGAUGGAUGAAUUUCGCAAUGAGUCCUAUGAAAAUGCCAAGAUAUACAAGGAAAGAACCAAGGCAUGGCAUGACAAACACAUUGUACGCAAGGAGUUUGUCCCUGGUCAACAGGUAUUACUCUUCAAUUCACGGCUCCGCUUGUUUCCUGGUAAGCUUAAAUCACGAUGGUCAGGACCAUUUACGGUUGUGAAGGUAUUUCCUUAUGGAGCAGUAGAGGUCACCCAUGAUGAAAAGGGAACAUUUACAGUGAAUGGGCAGCGUCUGAAGCAUUAUAGGAAUGGAGAGUCUAUUGGGAAAAGGGAUGAUAUCCCUCUCACUUCAUCUUAGAUAAAUGGAAAACUCAAGCUAAUGACUAUAACUAAGCGCUGAUUGGGAGGCAACCCAAAAAAAAAAAAAAAAAACCCUUAUGUGUUUCAUUGAGUUGUGCAGGAAUUGAUGAUACAAGAAAAUAACCAGGAGCAACAACAAACUCACACCCACAAAGUCAAAAGGAAGUAUUCGUAAGCCUUUCUAUUCUUCAUUUUUCCAUUGAGGACAAUGUGAUAUUUAAGUUUGGGGGAGACAUUGCAUGCUUUGACUAUGAAAGACACUGCACACUAGAACCAUGAAAACAGAGGGUGAAAAGUGAUAUGCAUUUAAGACCAACUUGACAUUUUUAGGUGCUUCAUGAUGUAACCAUGAUAUUUCUUGGCUUAGAGCGGAUGAUAUCUUAUAAAGUUGGAUUAAGCAUGACUAUUUUCUUUUGAAUUAUUGAAGUACACUUUUCCAGCACAAUCAUGUGAAUUGUGUAGUUAUGCAUAAGAGAUAAGUGUGCUGUUCUUUCUUGUUAUUACCCUCUAAGAAAAAUAUUAAAACAAGGAGUGAUAAUGAGUAUGAAAUGAAUGAAUAAGUAUAUGAUGUGUAUCUACUCCAAUGUUUUGAGUUGCUUAGUAACUAGGAGUAUUCAUCACAAAUGUUUACUUUUACGUCAAACGGCAGCUUAAAAUUUGAGUAUGCAAAGCAUUUUAAGUUUAUGACCUGUUAAGUAACCGGGUGCAUUCAUCACAAAUGUUUGUAUUCGCGUCAAAAGACAAGUGAUAAAUUUAAAAAAAUCACCCUUGUCAAAAGACAAGUAAAAGUGUGUUAUUACUCCUAAAGUUGGCUACCUUGUUUAAAAAAAAAAAAAAAUAAAAAAAAAAAAAAGUAAUGACGGAAUGACUGUGCACGGUUCAAGGAUGCUAACACAUGAAACACAUGGAUGAGUUGGAAGUUUGUACAACGACCUGAAGAGAGUAGAAUGCUUAAUUUUUCAUUAUCUAAUAUUGUCUAUGAGCUAAGUCAAGAAGUGAACGCUGCAUGAUGGGGCCUUUUAAAUGUGAAAGUUGAACUUAUCAUGAGCUUUUAGCACUCUGCUUUCAUGGUUUCCUUUUUGCUUGAGGACAAGCAAACAUUCAAGUUUGGGGGUAUUUGAUAAGGGAAUUUUUAGCAUAUAUAUUUUUCGCUAUUCAUGCUUGAUUUUUAAAUAUUUUGGAUAUGUUGAACAAGAAAAUUAGAAUUUUGAAUCUCUUUUUGAACUAUUGACCUCGUGGGAAAUUAAUGUGUUUUCAGAUCUUAGGUUACUAAACAGGCAGAGCCGGGCAGUGAAACUGAACAGUGAUUCAUUAUGUGCUGCAAAGAAGCUAUACAAUUUAGUUCCGGAUGUUCGUAACCAUUUUCAAAUAGCUGAGAUGAAGGUCUACAAAACAUAUGAAGGGCAUAUAACUCAGUUUUGUUGUUUCGAAGCCCAAAAAGCGAGUUGAAAAACAAGGAUUGAACCAGCCCGAAACUCCUGCACUGCAAAGACUGCUUCGGUUUAUGGCCCUUAUCUCAGCACUCAGACGUCCAAAAAUUGCAAGAUCAGUUUUGUUGGAAAGAAAAUUUGAUUCUCUACAAUUUCUCCAGAAAUAGAGAUCUUUAAUUCGCACGUUUUCUACCUCAAAUCGGGCCCGCAAUGUCUGAGUAGGAAGGAAUUUAAUGCAGAAAGGAAACUUUCCUCAUUACUGCAGGGGUAGAAAAGCCACAAUAUAAAAGAAGAAAAAGGGGGAUUGAACAGCGGAAAACCUACAACAUAGAAAACAAAAAGAGAGGAGGCGGCACCAAGGAAAAAAGAAAAUACACCUUUGGCAGAGGCAAAACUAUUCAAAAACCGGGAGGACACCUAUCUUUUCGACGGAAAUUCUCUGCUUUUGAGUGAUGUUCAUCGUAUCAAGUUUGUUUCUCUUUAAUUUAACUAUGGAGUAGACUUUUAUUCUGGGAUUUUUGAUGUAACCUUACUAUGAAUAUGUGAACAAUUUCUUCGAUUGAAUUAUUACAUUAAGAUGUUGAGUAUUUGAUUCUAUGUGCAAUGCUUGCGUGUGUUUGGCCAACAUUUGCAUGAUUUAGAAUUCAAUUUGAAACUGAGAAGUAAUAAUUGUUUUAGCUAUUGUUUGAAAUACCUUAAGAAAUCUAUAGGAUAGAGAUAUCCUAUGAACUUUUGUAAUCGUUACAGGUUUUACAGUACUUAAUAAAUAUCGACAAGUUCAGAACUUUCGUAGAGUAUAUGAAAUUUGUUUGUCGAAAUAAUUUAUUGAUGCUCGAGAGAGAUUAAUAUUUACAUUAGAAAAACCUGAUUAUCAACAUUAGGAGUAAUUAAUUUAAUUGAGAAAGUUCACAUAGGCAUAGUUACGGUAAGUCAGAAAUCCUAGAACCAGUACAAUUGAAUUCAUUAAUAUUUAAUCAAAUAGUUGUUACCUUUUAAUCAUUAAUUUUUGUUUCAUAAACUAUCUCAUUUGAUUCUUCAAAUAGAUCAUAAUUUAAAAGACUUUGGUAAUUAGUAGUAAUUUUUGUAAAUCCUCGUGGGACGAUACUCUACUCAUCACUUUAUUACUUGUUACGAUUUGUGCACUUGCAAAAAUAACCAACAGGCAGGUCGCACGAUAGUUGACUCUUUUAUUCGGAUUUCAACUCUUACCAUCUGCAUAUUUGCAACAAAAUCCUGUUAAAGUCCUGUUUGUUGAUAUAUGCUGUUUAAAUUGUUGAAAAUCAACUCCAUGUUUGCUUAGCUUAGUACAUUGCAGUAUAUGUUAAAUAUUAAUGAAGCAGAAUUAAAUAUUUAAACUCAUACUUUAUUCGCCUAGUUAGAAUUUUCUUCUUAGAAGAAAAAAAAAAUAGAGGGGGGGGGGGUGUGCGCAGAUGGUGACGACCACUCGUAUUUAUAGAAGAAAAAAAAG
rnacentral:lncRNA from 1 species